ensembl:lncRNA
AAAAAGCGCAGCUUGACUUAGCGUGAUCCGCUCAUCGCGGCUUAAUCGGUUGCAUGUUUGCCGAGCCAGGAUGAGAAGGUGAAGCUAUGUCAAGCCAGGUGUAGAUAGUCGGGUUAAGUGCACGUCCACGGCUUUCUGAAAUAGACCACGGUAUCGAUCACAGAUUCACUGAUUCAGAGAUGGAGAAGACGUGUGCGGCAUAUUUUUCACCCGAGGAGCAGCAACUCAUUAUGGAAAGUUAUGAGGAGGUAAAGCAUAUAAUAUGCAGAAAAGGAAAUACGGCGGCUGUUAUUAAACUGAGAGAAAAAGCCUGGCAGACAAUAGCGGACCGACUGAAUGCCUGUUAAGAAGACUCAUUUGUCUGGCACUGGGUUGGGGCCGCCAGCUCCAGACUUCACCCCUGCUGAGGAAAU